GCGACCCCAGGAUGGGCGGGGCC
rnacentral:rRNA from 1 species